ACGAACGCUGGCGGCAUGCCUAACACAUGCAAGUCGAACGAGACCUUCGGGUCUAGUGGCGCACGGGUGCGUAACGCGUGGGAACCUGCCCUUAGGUUCGGAAUAACUCCCCGAAAGGGGUGCUAAUACCGGAUAAUGUCUUCGGACCAAAGAUUUAUCGCCUUUGGAUGGGCCCGCGUUGGAUUAGCUAGUUGGUAGGUUAAAAGCCUACCAAGGCGACGAUCCAUAGCUGGUCUGAGAGGAUGAUCAGCCACACUGGGACUGAGACACGGCCCAGACUCCUACGGGAGGCAGCAGUGGGGAAUAUUGGACAAUGGGCGAAAGCCUGAUCCAGCAAUGCCGCGUGAGUGAUGAAGGCCUUAGGGUUGUAAAGCUCUUUUACCCGGGAUGAUAAUGACAGUACCGGGAGAAUAAGCUCCGGCUAACUCCGUG
rnacentral:rRNA from 1 species